GACGAACGCUGGCGGCGUGCCUAAUACAUGCAAGUUGAGCGCUGAAGGUUGGUACUUGUACCAACUGGAUGAGCAGCGAACGGGUGAGUAACGCGUGGGGAAUCUGCCUUUGAGCGGGGGACAACAUUUGGAAGCGAAUGCUAAUACCGCAUAAAAACUUUAAACACAAGUUUUAAGUUUGAAAGAUGCAAUUGCAUCACUCAAAGAUGAUCCCGCGUUGUAUUAGCUAGUUGGUGAGGUAAAGGCUCACCAAGGCGAUGAUACAUAGCCGACCUGAGAGGGUGAUCGGCCACAUUGGGACUGAGACACGGCCCAAACUCCUACGGGAGGCAGCAGUAGGGAAUCUUCGGCAAUGGACGAAAGUCUGACCGAGCAACGCCGCGUGAGUGAAGAAGGUUUUCGGAUCGUAAAACUCUGUUGGUAGAGAAGAACGUUGGUGAGAGUGGAAAGCUCAUCAAGUGACGGUAACUACCCAGAAAGGGACGGCUAACUACGU
rnacentral:rRNA from 1 species